UGACGUCAACUCGGCCGAUGGGCUGCAGCCAAUCAAGGAGGGACACGUCCGAGGCGAAGGAGAAUGCUCCUUAAGAGGGACGGGGUUUUCGUUUUCUCUCUCUCUUGCUUCUUGCUCUCUUUUCCUGAAGAUGUAAGAAUAAAGCUUUGCCGCAGAAGAUUCUGGUCUGUGGUGUUCUUCCUGGCCGGUCGUGAGAACGCGUCUAAUAACAAUUGGUGCCGAAUUCCGGGACGAGAAAAUCCGGGACGAGAAAAAACUCCGGACUGGCGCAGGAGGGAUACCUCAUUCCAGAACCAGAACUGCGAAUCAAGGUUAUAAGGUUCCCGUAACACAGACUGUUGAGAAGGAUUCAACUGCCGAAUUCAGAACUCAUCAGCUGGGGAACGACGGUGAUAAAGGUUCCCGUAAAGCAGACUGUUAAGAAGGAUUCAACUGUAUGAAUUCAGAACUUUUCAGCUGGGGAACGAGAGUACCAC
rnacentral:lncRNA from 1 species